GUAUAUUUAAAAAAAAUGAAAAAAAAAAAAAAUAAUACUAGAGAUCGGGACUCCGAACCAACCAUCCCAAUGUAUAAAGCUCUGCUGCUCUACCAGAAUGGUCCUACUCCUAUGGCUUCAGUUUCUCUCUCUCUCUCUCUCUCUCUCUCUCUCUCUGCUUCUGCAUUCUUUUCAGGUGUGCUGCAGAACACCAGUCUUGUGCUUGAAAACAUGCAAAGCAAGGUCAAGACAGUAUACCUUGACUUCUGAGGCUGGAUUCAGCAGUUGAUGUUCCCCUUUUGAUUUGUUGUAUCCAUCGAUUACUGAUUCCAUGCUGUAAGAGUAGAGAAUAGGCUAAUCAAUUUUUUUUGUACAAUUUUAUCAAUUGUCUUAAAGCUUUCAACAUCAAAAUUUCAGUUAGAAUCUCAUGAAGAUGACCGGUAAACUUCCAUGGAAAACGAGGAGAAUAGGAAAGAAAUAGGACAGAAUAGUGAGGCUGUGAAUCUAAUCUUACUAAUGUUACAUUUGGGAUCAUGA